UAGUGCUAUCAGUGGUAAUAGCAUAGGUGC
rnacentral:piRNA from 1 species